UACGGAGGGUGCGAGCGUUAAUCGGAAUAACUGGGCGUAAAGGGCACGCAGGCGGUCUGUUAAGUGAGAUGUGGAAUCCCCGGGCUUAACCUGGGAAUAGCAUUUCAGACUGGGAGUCUUGAGUACUUUAGGGAGGGGUAGAAUUCCACGUGUAGCGGUGAAAUGCGUAGAGAUGUGGAGGAAUACCGAAGGCGAAGGCGGCCCCUUGGGAAUGUACUGACGCUCAUGUGCGAAAGCGUGGGGAGCAAGCAGG
rnacentral:rRNA from 1 species